UGUACAUAUAAAAAGACGGAAUUCUCGCGGUUGGGCUGUCUUUCAUAUAUCUGUUCAUUUAAGGUCGAUCUGGAACUUACACAACAACAAGAAGAACUAGUAUGUGUAUGAUCAACUCUUUACUCAUUAGUUGGCAUUGCUUCACCUUUGAUCAGGAAGGAAUUUGUCAGAAAAGCAGAAAUACAAAGAUGCGAUCUACAUUGGUAUUGUUUGCUGCCAUAACAAUGGUACUGGUAUGUAAUUUGGCUGAAGGUCUCCCUCACAACCGCAAGAUUGAAUUCAAAAUACCCCGACCGCAAUUUUGUCAAACGGAUGAAGACGUAUACCGUCUGUGUUAUUUGUGUGCACGAGCAAUGGAAGAUAUAGAUGUCUACAACGGCUGCUGUGCUCAAGAAAAAUUAUACUAUUCCUUCUGUCAAGUAUAUCUGGCCUAGCACGGCGACUAAUGUUAGUCAUAGCAAUGUUACUUCAUGUUUUUUUUUGCGAGAUUGUUCGGGGAAAAAAAGAUAAUAAAUUAUAAUUUAACUUAA